rnacentral:lncRNA from 1 species
AGACAGAAGUAAGGGCCACUUUCCUUCCAUCUUUGGCUUUUGUGCUAGCCUACCCUCCCGCAAGGGGCAUCUUCAUGUUUCAUCCAGUGCCAUAGCUUGCCAGGAAAAAGGGUCGCACAGCUGAGGCCACAGUCCUAUCGUAAGCUUUUUUCUGUGAGAAGCCCUUUGAGUUCCCUCAGGCGGCUCAAAGCGACUCACUCCAUGUAGCACUGGCAAUUGUGUUGGCUGGGUCUGAAGCUGACACAGUGGGAACUACUGGAACAGGAAGAGAAAAGCCAUGUACUUCCACAUGAGUGAAGCAACACCUGAUUCCCUGAGUGAGGAAAUGAGUCUGCUGUAUGAAAGCAGGAACCUUCUACCUCUGGUUUCAGGAAACCUCCUGUGCUCAGAGGUACGUGGCUCCUGAGGAAAUAUAUGAAGCAUUCCUGCCAAAGAAAAGCCAGGAACACAGAGGACUAAGGAGGAAGGGCAGUCCUUUUUGACUUUGGUUUCUGCCAGUUUGGCCUUGCUGUAGUUGCUGUUGCUCUGCUACACAGAGAAAUCCGGGGAAAGAACAAAAGAGGAAAACAAGUCAG